CUUGAGAGCCCUUUCUGCAGCUUUCUGCCUUAUUAUCUGUAUAACAAAAUUUAUUUGAAGUCGAUAUCUCUUCUGGUUCUUGAGCUAUGGACGACGAAAAAAACGUCGCGAAAGUUCGGACGUACGAACGUACGUACACACGCACGCACAACCAUGUUUCUAAAAACCUCUUAUUUUGACUCUAGGGACCUUGAAACCUCGAGAAAUGUCAAAAUUUUCAAUUUGACAAAUCGGACCCAUUACAAUAAUUUCCAAUGGGAAGUAAAAAAAUAUUAAAAUAAAAUAGGUAUUUUCAAUAAUUAGAAAAUGUCGACCAAAAAAAGAAAUUCAAGAAAAAAACAUCUCCUUCGAUAGCAAAAUACCCACUUGCUUUAUAAAAUUCGAACCAUAUGCAAAAGACAACAACAAAUCUACCUAACUAGACAUACCAAAAAAAACCGGUUUAUCAUGCAACGUUGUUCUAUUUCUUAUUUCUUUGAUUGGCUGCUUGUGCGGAAAUAUACCCCUCGCUCUGAGAGACAAAAAAGAUCAAGAGGCAAAUAUAGAGUAAUUGGAAAUUCAAAUUUUGAAUUUGAUAAUGAAGAGAGUAGGAAAUUUGCUCACCAAUGAAAAUUUUGUGUGAAAUCAUCAAGGAAAUCAGCUACUCGAAUCAUUGAGGAAUAGCAUGCAAUGAAAUCCUUACUGAAAGGCAUUGCGUUUUUCCUAUGAUUAUACAAUCCACCCUAUCUUUUUCCUUGUAAAAUAUUUCAUUCACGAUAUGAAGCACGAGAUGGGUGUUUUGUAUUUGUUUAUAUUUGCCUUUUUCUUCUCUACCUGCCACUGAAUAAUACGGAGAUUGGCUUUAGUUUUAGAACAUCAAUGCUCGGGUUUUUAACAUAUAAUACAAAAUUGCAUAUCCCGUUCGGCAGCCUGGUUUGCUUCGAGAAACAAAGUUAUUUCCAACAACAACGACCGACGGUGAUGGCGACGGAUGGUUGAAGGAUUGCAAUCAGCGUUACCACUUUACUUCAAUUAAAGUAGAUCUACUUCUUUUUUUCAAAUAAAUUUAAAAUCUACUUCCUAAUUCGCACCAUCAUCAAAAUAUUGAAAUCUACUUCAAUUUCAAUAUCAGGUUUUUUACCUUCUUCAAUUUUAAUAAAAAUAGACUGAAUCUACUCUUUUUUUCUCUCACUCUUGUACGUAGUCUUAAAACUUUCUAGAGAAUUAAAAAUCGCUUGAGUAUUUGCAUUUGCAGUGAAUAUGUAUAUUAUGUUUUUUCUGUUUGUUAAUGUUUAAAGUUGGACCCUAGUCUUAUUUUGGAUUUGAUUGUUUGUUUUCAAUAUGAAAAGAUAUUUUCACUUUUUUCCUAAAACCUACUUCCACUUUUUUUUGAGAAGUGGUAACGCUGAUUGCAAUGUUCGGAUUUUUACAUAUCAUAAAAACUUCGAUUCGCGAUCCUCAGCCUGGUUUGCUUAGAAACAAAGUUAUUUCCAACAACAACGCACAGUGUUCGGGGUAAGUGAUUUUUUUUUGAAAGCAUUGUUGUUUUUUCGAGAAACAAUUUUCCAGUUGAAUUCCAUUGUUCAUAGUGUCAACAAGUGAGUAAAGCUUAAAAUUAUUAAAAAGAGUUUAGAAAAUAAAAUAUAAGUGUAAAAAAGUGAAUAUUUUGGUAAAUUGGUAGAAUUUGUGUUCAAAUGGACAAGGAAAAUAUUCAGGCUUCCAGAUCUAAACAGUCGGCAAUGGACUCCAUUGAAUUUUCACCCACAAAGCAGGCAAGGCGGAUUUUUAAGAAAACGAAUCAACAAGAUAUGAUAGACGAAAUGAGAGCGGACAUUAAACGUUUGUGUGUCACCACGGAGCAGCUAAAAAAUGGGAUCUGCACAUUGGCAGCAUUUUUUUCAAUAAAAUCAUAAAAAUUUA